UACGUAGGCAGCGAGCGUUGUUCGGAGUUACUGGGCGUAAAGGGUGUGUAGGCGGUUGUUUAAGUUUGGUGUGAAAUCUCCCCGGCUCAACUGGGGAGGGUGCGCCGAAUACUGAAUGACUGGAGUGCGGGAGAGGAAAGUGGAAUUCCUGGUGUAGCGGUGAAAUGCGUAGAUAGUCAGGAGGAACACCGGCGGUGUAGACGGCUUUCUGGACCGUAGCUGACGCUGAGAACACGGAAAGCGUGGGUAGCAAACAGG
rnacentral:rRNA from 1 species